GCAAGUCGAGCGCUUUCCUUCGGGAAGGAGCGGCGGACGGGUUAGUAACGCGUGGGAACGUACCCUUUUCUACGGAAUAGCCUUUGGAAACGAAGAGUAAUACCGUAUACGCCCUUUGGGGGAAAGAUUUAUCGGAGAAGGAUCGGCCCGCGUUAGAUUAGAUAGUUGGUGGGGUAACGGCCUACCAAGUCUACGAUCUAUAGCUGGUUUUAGAGGAUGAUC
rnacentral:rRNA from 1 species